rnacentral:lncRNA from 1 species
UUGGAUUAGUUAUAACAUUAUAUGAAAAUAUAUAAUACAACAAAAAUAUAAUAGGACCAAAUAAAAUAGCAGGAAGAAGGGAGAACACAAACUAAUAGUAAAAAAGAAACAAAGGUGGGAAAGCAGAUCGAUCCAUCUUAUUUCUGGGUUGAUUACGAUAGAAUCUGAAUUAUUCGACCUAUUUAAUUAAAAAAAAUACAUAUUGAAGAUUAAAUAGAGAGAAAUUAUAAAUAAAGAAAUGCCUGGCUUUCCCAUGUACGCCGACGACUCAUGCAAACUUUUUAUUCUUCCGGCGAAACACCGAAGUAGCCUCUCUAUUGCAUCUCCUCGAAUUCAUUAACGGUAACGACGUAUGAAUAUAGUGGUUGCCGUGUGUGCGUACAUAGUAGUUCUCCUUUAUUUCUCUUCGUCUUCAUCAUCAUCAUCUUGGUAAUUUGUUUUAUGUUUCUUCUCUGAGAGAGAGAGAGAGACUCUUGUUGGAGUUUGUAUUAACUUGUAUAUAUGCACACGCAUGUCAUUAAAUAAAAUUAUGUGUAUUUUAUAUGUUUGGCAUGAUUAUUUAAUGUGAUACUAAUUUAAGUUGGCAUUUGACGG